UUCUCGUUUCUUGCUCGCUUUGCUGCCAUUUGCGCCGUUCUUCAUGGGCCCGUUGAACGGCUGGCCGGAGCCAGCGGCGCCGAGCAGCGCCGCGUUCGGGUCCUGACAGAAGGUCUUCGUCUCGUCCACCUUGUAGCUGGUCUCUGGACGAUUCUUGAACUUGAGGAUGAUGAGAAUGAUGAGGACGAUGGCGAUCAAUGCGGCGGCUAUGAUGCCGAUUAUCAGCGCCGCGUUCUCUGCCGCCUCGGACGUUAUCCUCUUGUUGUUGUUGUUGUUCUUCGGCGGCGUCGGCAUCGGCGGGGGGAUGGGGUAGUAACGUGCUACCGACAAUAUUUACGCGUGCGUAGGCCGGCGAUAUUCACGCGUGCGUGGCCAGCAGCCACGUUGCGAGCACCCAACCACGCUCUGGGACUCGUGUUUCCUGGCUUCCAGGGACAACCGUUCGAUCAUUCACGCACGCAUACCGACCAUCGUCUACCGCGUUCUGCACCUACGCGUUUCUAUACAACUCCGCUCUACGACCGGUUAAUUGCUUUCCUUUUUCGCUCUGCCCCUUCGUAACGUCGUGACAAACGAGCCACUACAGACACGUUUACGUCAGACGGGUUGAAAGUUUCCGGGAAAUUUUAGACGUCGGGUGCCUGGUGCUCGUAGCUCGGCCUGGCGAUGUUUCCUAAUUACAACCCUCGCCGUUAUGUUUCGUAAUUGGCGAAGAAUGUGGCUCGGUUUUACGGAGAAUCGGCGAUCGUUAGGUGCUCAUCUGGCUUCUAUUUUCACGAAGAAUUGAUUACAAGCGAUCGCUGGGUAUAGUUUUCCCGUUUCUCUCAGUCACUUCCAAGCUGACGAUUUAUAUUACGCUCUUUGCCACGUUUGCCUUCGCUCGAUUUAACUCUGCUCUUCUCCUCGUCUCUUCGCUCCCCUCCGAUGUCCUUUUCUUAGGUCUGCUACUUUAUUCGUGUAACGAGUGGCAUCGCAAAAUCCUAUAUUUGCAAGCUGCUCAUAUCGUAAUAAUAUCUAGCGAAAUGUAAUAUUCAUUUCGGAUACCUGGUCAGAACAAUAGGAUUAAAAUAUUCAGCCAGAAUUUCCUAACAGUGAUACGACUCGUUUUAAGAGCUGAAAAUACACGAGAAAUUUCAAGCGUUUUAAAAUUCACUUUCGGCUGAUGGAGAAAUGCUAGAUACGACGUUUUAAGCAAACAGAUUUUACGUAUCGAGCAACUAUGCAUACAACUAUACACGUGGACCAACGUAUUUGCUUUUGGGGAAAUUAGUCUGGCUAUAGUCCGAGAGAUACUUUCGCC
rnacentral:misc_RNA from 1 species